rnacentral:rRNA from 1 species
AACGAACGCUGGCGGCAUGCCUAACACAUGCAAGUCGAACGAGAUCUUCGGGUCUAGUGGCGCACGGGUGCGUAACGCGUGGGAAUCUGCCCUUUGGUUCGGAAUAACAGUUGGAAACGACUGCAAAUACCGGAUGAUGACGAAAGUCCAAAGAUUUAUCGCCAGAGGAUGAGCCCGCGUAGGAUUAGCUAGUUGGUGUGGUAAAGGCGCACCAAGGCGACGAUCCUUAGCUGGUCUGAGAGGAUGAUCAGCCACACUGGGACUGAGACACGGCCCAGACUCCUACGGGAGGCAGCGGUGGGGAAUAUUGGACAAUGGGCGAAAGCCUGAUCCAGCAAUGCCGCGUGAGUGAUGAAGGCCUUAGGGUUGUAAAGCUCUUUUACCUGGGAUGAUAGUGACAGUACCGGGAGGAUAAGCUCCGGCUAACUCCGUGCCAGCCGCCGCCGUAA